rnacentral:lncRNA from 1 species
CGACGAGUACGCCGAUGCCACUGACUGCAUUGCUGAUUCUCCAGCCUACGAGCAGAUUGAGUGCAUUGUGACAGCACCAUCGCUAUUGAAGGACAUCCCGCAAUUAUAUAACCAUCUGUGCAAACCUACAGCCUGGAGUCCUUCCACAGUGUCCUGAAUGGUUUUGCCCCAAAGUCCAGUGCAUUCACGUAUGAAGGCAUGAGAGCCCGCGAAAACUCUCAGCGAGAGCAAGCAAGGAGCAGUGACGGCACAGAGAAGUGGCGCAUCAAGACAUCAGAGGUCCAGCAAGGAGUCGCUGCCAAGGCUGCUGUCAUAGUACGUAACGACGCCAGCACUACAAGACCUCAGCAGCAUACCGCAUUCAUCGGGGCUCCAGUUGCUGAAUUGGAGCCCAGCGUUGUGAGCCAAUGUCUCGUUGCCAAGUUCACCGUCGACAUCCA